UCCAGCAAUGCCGCGUGAGUGAAGAAGGCCUUCGGGUUGUAAAGCUCUUUUGUCAGGGAAGAAACAGCAGCUCUAACACAGUCUGCGAAUGACGGUACCUGAAGAAUAAGCACCGGCUAACUACGUGCCAGCAGCCGCGGUAAUACGUAGGGUGCAAGCGUUAAUCGGAAUUACUGGGCGUAAAGCGUGCGCAGGCGGUUAUGUAAGACAGGCGUGAAAUCCCCGGGCUUAACCUGGGAAUUGCGCUUGUGACUGCAUAGCUAGAGUAUGUCAGAGGGGGGUAGAAUUCCACGUGUAGCAGUGAAAUGCGUAGAGAUGUGGAGGAAUACCAAUGGCGAAGGCAGCCCCCUGGGACAAUACUG
rnacentral:rRNA from 1 species